GGUGAGUAACACGUGAGCAACCUACCUUUCAGUGGGGGACAACAUUUGGAAACGAAUGCUAAUACCGCAUAAGACCACAGUGUCGCAUGGCACAGGGGUCAAAGGAUUUAUCCGCUGAAAGAUGGGCUCGCGUCCGAUUAGAUAGUAGGCGGGGUAACGGCCCACCUAGUCGACGAUCGGUAGCCGGACUGAGAGGUUGAACGGCCACAUUGGGACUGAGACACGGCCCAGACUCCUACGGGAGGCAGCAUG
rnacentral:rRNA from 1 species